UCUGCUAACACCCUACCCAUCGCUCAAAACACACCCAAUCCCCUCCGACCUCCUCCCGCACAGAACCCCGCAGCCCCAAUCCUCCUCCUGCCUCCUUCCUCCUCGAGCCGCCGGAUCCCCACCCCACCACGCGCCGCUGGAGCCCCGUCUCGCCACGCGCCGCCGGAGCCCCGCCCCGCGCUGCUGGAGCCCAGCCCCAUCCCGCCGCUGCCGCCCAGCCCAGGUACCAACGGAUCCGGCGACAUCCCCAUCGCCAGCCACACAAUCUCCACCGGCGCAGUGGAGCAGCACCACCACCGUGGCCGUGGGCGUGCGAGGGGAUCCCGGGGCUAGUGCGGCCAUGGCCUGGAGCUCGCCCCUCCUCCUGCGCGGGGACGCCAGCUACCGCAGAGCCCAGCUACCAACGGGUCCUGCCGGAUCCCCAGCGCCAGGCACGCCACCUCCUGUUGCAGUCCUCCCUCCCUGUUGCAGGCCAGGCGUCCCGGGCUUCAAGUGCGCCGGGGCACGCGAUGCGGUUUGGCGCGCGUGGCCGUGCAGGUGCAUCACCCCCACUCCCAACAACCACGAGCAGCAGCGCGUAUGGCAGUGGACACAACCGAGUACCCUUCUCCUCUGCUCCCUUCCCCAGCCAACAUCCAUCGAGUUCCAUCAGUGUGGUCGUCCAGCACGCGGGCGUGGGUUUGUAAUGUGGUGCCCAUCUACGUGCAGCCCACGAGGAGGCGACUGGUACUAAAGAUGCUACAUCCAUGAUAGUGGUAAAUCCCUUUGCAAUUUCAGAAUCUGUUUGAUUGCUAUGAAAACUGUUGUAGUGCCUAAUUUUUUAGUGUCGUGCAAUCUUUAGUGAUGUUCACUUUGUUAGUUCUUCCCUCUAAUUCUACGGACGAGCUGCACAGAACUGCAGUCAUCCCGAGCCUACCGCCGAGGAGCCGGCGAGCGCGCCCGCGGCGCCACCGCCUACCUCAACCUCGAACCGGGCGACUACUACGGGGACAGCACCGCCGUCUCCUCCCUCGUGCAGGCAAGAAGAGGAUGAAGAUCUCCACACCUGCCCCCAUGCAGUUCACUCGACGCGCCCGUGUGGUGCGGAGCGCAUCUGCGUGCAGUACGCCUGCCAACCAACUCCACCACGCCCACAGUCCACUCCGUGGUCCAAUGCAAUCCGACGACUCGAUGCAUGCAGCUCGCAUGGUGCGUGUGUGCAGUUUUCAGGCUCGCAGGUGUGUGGUUCUACCAACAACCAACUCCACCGCGGCCCAGCACUCACGCCGGGGAGCUCCUGGACUUCAGCGUCGAGGUGUUCAACAACUGACGCAGAGAUUGGAACGGACACGGCCGCCUUUCCUCAUCGUCUUCAUUGGAAAGCACACCUAGUGGCUGCUCGCGGGCGUGCUACGUGCCGUUCGGCAUCAGCAGCAAUGCGGUUCAGAAUCGCGGUUUGCUUCUGGGUGGCCAAAGGCAGCGACAAUCCAUGACUUCGGCCUUUCCCAGCCCGCUGCCAUGAGCUCCCAGGGGAAGGAAGACAUGAUGUGCUUGCAUCCGCCUGCGAGAUGCCACCGCUUGGCGUACACAUUUUUUCUCUUCAUUGGAAUUGUUUUCACGGGAAUGCUAGAUCCUAGCAGGCAUGCAGUAUAGCUGGUGCUAGCGGUCCAUAUCUUUGUUUUUGUAGCUCACUGUCUCUCUUUUGUUGUAUCUUCUUUUUGAGUGUAGUGAUGUGGGGGUUGGACUUGCAGUGCACUGGCGACCGGCUUGCAUUUCAUGGAAAAAUUGUGGAUUUAUACUCU